UGCAGUCGAGCGGUAAGGCCCUUCGGGGUACACGAGCGGCGAACGGGUGAGUAACACGUGGGUGAUCUACCCUGUACUUCGGGAUAAGCCUGGGAAACUGGGUCUAAUACCGGAUAUGACCUUCCGAUGCAUGUCGGUGGGUGGAAAGAUUUAUCGGUACAGGAUGGGCCCGCGGCCUAUCAGCUUGUUGGUGGGGUAAUGGCCUACCAAGGCGACGACGGGUAGCCGGCCUGAGAGGGCGACCGGCCACACUGGGACUGAGACACGGCCCAGACUCCUACGGGAGGCAGCAGUGGGGAAUAUUGCACAAUGGGCGAAAGCCUGAUGCAGCGACGCCGCGUGAGGGAUGACGGCCUUCGGGUUGUAAACCUCUUUCGACAGGGACGAAGCGCAAGUGACGGUACCUGUAGAAGAAGCACCGGCCAACUACGUGCCAGCAGCCGCGGUAAUACGUAGGGUGCGAGCGUUGUCCGGAAUUACUGGGCGUAAAGAGCUUGUAGGCGGUUUGUCGCGUCGUCCGUGAAAACUUGGGGCUCAACCCCAAGCUUGCGGGCGAUACGGGCAGACUUGAGUACUGCAGGGGAGACUGGAAUUCCUGGUGUAGCGGUGAAAUGCGCAGAUAUCAGGAGGAACACCGGUGGCGAAGGCGGGUCUCUGGGCAGUAACUGACGCUGAGAAGCGAAAGCGUGGGUAGCGAACAGGAUUAGAUACCCUGGUAGUCCACGCCGUAAACGGUGGGCGCUAGGUGUGGGUUUCCUUCCACGGGAUCCGUGCCGUAGCUAACGCAUUAAGCGCCCCGCCUGGGGGAGUACGGGCCGCAAGGCUAAAACUCAAAGGAAUUGACGGGGGGCCCGCACAAGCGGCGGAGCAUGGUGGAUUAAUUCGAUGCAACGCGAAGAACCUUUACCUGGGGUUUGACAUACACCGGGAAACCUGGCAGAGAUGUAGGCCCCCCUUG
rnacentral:rRNA from 1 species